rnacentral:lncRNA from 1 species
GGUAGCUUGAUAUAAGCUCAAGAAACAGGACAAAAGGUAGCAAGGAAACCAUCAACAAGUCCCCAGCUUGCUCACAGAUUGCUUUGCUCACUCAAAGCACUCCAAAAUUAGAAAAGCUACAGUCCUUUGCCAAGAAUUCAGUAUGCAAAUAUUUCCUAAUAAAGAAGCCAUAGGAGAAACUUGAAAUUUUUGUUGCAGUGUUCCAAUACACUGACAGUGUUUUUUGUUGACAGCGCAAGAUUAGAAAGCAAGCACAAUGAAGUUCAUUUGCAAGAACACCUGCUUUAAAAAUAACCCUGCUGUCACAGGAAACAAUUUCUGGAUUGGCUUGUGUGUGUGUGUGUGUGUGUGUGUGUGUGUGUGUGUGUGUGUUGGAAAAAUCUAGUGAAUAUGAAAUACUGAAACAUAGCUGUUAUUUACAUAUCUAACACUAGCAUUGAGAACAUUUCUUUUUAUUUCAAGUACCACAGUUGUGUUUUGAUUCAAUGAUACAGUUUUGCUCUUUUAUAUAAAAAAUAAAUUAAUACGUUAUUGUAAAGUACUUUCAAAUUUUCUUUAAAAAAAAGGUUAUUUUGUGAUAUUAGUCAGACUCAAAGUCUAUGCAUCUCAAUGAACAUCCAUGCUGUUAGAACAGCCAUUGUGAAGCCCUGGAGCUUUGCCCUGUGUCUUACUCUUUCACUAGAAAUUGCACUUUAAUGCAUUUAUCCACGACAAAAAUAAAAAUAAGAAAAAAAAACCUGACAGCUAAAACUACAUGGAUAUAUGGUAUAACAUAUUCUGUGAGAACAAGAGCAAGAAGAAUAAAUAUUAGGAAAUGGGGGGGGGUAGCUGCAAGUAAAGGACGUGUGUAAGAGGAUAUAGAGGUGAUGUUACAACUAGCAAUUGUUGGUAUGUUUAUAGCCUUCAGUUCAGAAAGGCGUUAGAAGUAAACAGUAGUAGAGGGUUAGCUUCAAUACUCACUUCAGCUACCAGCCAAAUCUCUAGACAGAAUUUUUCUCCCAACAUCAAGC